rnacentral:tRNA from 1 species
GCUCGGGUAACUCAGUGGAUAGAGUACGCUUCUGUCGAAGGCGAUGACGUGGGUUCGAAUCCCACCCCGGGUA